rnacentral:rRNA from 1 species
UACGUAGGGUGCGAGCGUUGUCCGGAAUUACUGGGCGUAAAGAGCUCGUAGGUGGUUUGUCGCGUUGUUCGUGAAAUCUCACGGCUUAACUGUGAGCGUGCGGGCGAUACGGGCAGACUUGAGUACUGCAGGGGAGACUGGAAUUCCUGGUGUAGCGGUGGAAUGCGCAGAUAUCAGGAGGAACACCGGUGGCGAAGGCAGGUCUCUGGGCAUUAACUGACGCUGAGGAGCGAAAGCAUGGGGAGCGAACAGG